rnacentral:rRNA from 1 species
AUUGAACGCUAGCGGGAUGCUUUACACAUGCAAGUCGAACGAGUGGCGGACGGGUGAGUAAUAUAUCGGAACGUGCCCAGUAGCGGGGGAUAACUACGCGAAAGAGUGGCUAAUACCGCAUAACAUUGGAGAGGCCGAUAUCGGAUUAGCUAGUUGGUGGGGUAAAGGCUCACCAAGGGAACGAUCCGUAGCUGGUUUGAGAGGACGACCAGCCACACUGGGACUUAGACACGGCCCCGACUCAUACGGGAGGCAGCAGGGGGGAAUUUUGGACAAUUGGCGAAACCCUGAUCCAGCCAUCCCGCGUGUAUGAGAAGGCCUUCGGGUUGUAAAGCACUUUUGUCAGAGAAGCGGUAUCUGCAGAAUAAGCACCGGCUAACUACGUGCCAGCAGCCGCGGUAAUAC